rnacentral:rRNA from 1 species
UUCCUACGGGAGGCAGCAGUGAGGAAUAUUGGUCAAUGGACGGAAGUCUGAACCAGCCAUUCCGCUUUCAUUCUUCCUUCUCUAUGAGUUGUAAACUGCUUUUGUAUUAGGGUAAACACCCCUACGUGUAGGGGCUUGAAAGUAUAAUACGAAUAAGGAUCGGCUAACUCCGUGCCAGCAGCCGCGGUAAUACGGAGGAUCCAAGCGUUAUCCGGAUUUAUUGGGUUUAAAGGGUGCGUAGGCGGUUUGAUAAGUUAGAGGUGAAAUACCGGUGCUCAACACCGGAACUGCCUCUAAUACUGUUG